rnacentral:piRNA from 1 species
UGUAAACUCCUCAUGUGCUUGGAUAGGCCA